rnacentral:rRNA from 1 species
UACGAAGGGGGCGAGCGUUGUUCGGAUUUACUGGGCGUAAAGGGCGCGUAGGCGGCCUUGUCAGUCAGGCGUGAAAGCCCCGGGCUCAACCUGGGAACGGCGCUUGGGACGGCGAGGCUGGAGUUCGGGAGAGGAGAGUGGAAUUCCCAGUGUAGAGGUGAAAUGCGUAGAUAUCGGGAGGAACACCAGUGGCGAAGGCGACUACCUGGCCUGUUCUUGACGCUGAGGCGCGAAAGCUAGGGGAGCAAACGGG